rnacentral:rRNA from 1 species
GACGAACGCGGGCGGCGUGCUUAACACAUGCAAGUCGAACGAUGAACCCGGAGCUUGCUCCGGUGGAUUAGUGGCGAACGGGUGAGUAACACGUGAGUAACCUGCCCUUGACUCUGGGAUAACUGCGGGAAACUGUAGCUAAUACCGGAUACGACCCUCGUCGGCAUCGCAAGGGGGUGGAAAGAAUUUCGGUCAAGGAGGGACUCGCCGCCUAGCAGCUAGUUGGUGAGGUAACGGGUCACCAAGGCGACGACGGGUAGCCGGCCUGAGAGGGUGACCGGCCACACUGGGACUGAGACACGGCCCAGACUCCGACGGGAGGCAGCAGUGGGGAAUUUUGGACAAUGGGGGCAACCCUGAUCCAGCAAUGCCGCGUGAGUGAAGAAGGCCUUCGGGUUGUAAAGCUCUUUUGUCAGGGAAGAAACACCGGCUCUAACACAGUCCGGGAAUGACGGUACCUGAAGAAUAAGCACCGGCUAAC